GAGCAUUUUUCCUUUCUCUUUCUCUUAAAUAAACCAUUAGCAACUUUUCAAAACAAGAAAGGAAAAAAAAUAAGGACAGGGUCAGGUUGCCGCAAAGACCUUUGGCCCCCAUCCUCAUCACCCUGUGGCCUCCCCAGGCCUGGUGGACAACAGGGAUACUGGAGCUGCAGGCCAGGCUGCCGCCUGAUGCCAGGGGCCCCGUGCUCUCAGGCUGACCAGGAAGGCAGGUGCCCUGCACAAGGCCUGUGGUAUGUUUUCACCGGGGCCACCAGCAGCAGGGGCAGGGACAGGCUGGCCAACUCAAAAGAAGCCAGGAGUGAGAGGGUUUGCUUCUCCUUUCCUUCCAAGAGCACUGGAAAACUGGAAGGAAGUCCAAAGCCAAGCCCAAUGGCAAGAAGCCCGCUGCGGAGGAGAGGAAGGCCUACCUGGAGCCCGAGCACACCAAGGCCAGGAUCACCGACUUCCAGUUCAAGGAGCUGGUGGUGCUGCCCCGCGAGAUUGACCUUAACGAGUGGCUGGCCAGCAACAGUGCGCGGGGGCCUGGGGGCGGGCCCCUUCCCUCCUCCCUGCUCCUCCUCGAAGCCCCUC
rnacentral:sRNA from 1 species